rnacentral:tmRNA from 1 species
GGGGCUGAUCGGUUUCGACUUGGGACGUUAGUUCCAGGGGAAGCGGGUCGAGAAGCCAGCGUCAUCUCGUAAACGUUCGCUGGAAACCUAUAACUG